GUCUCUACGGAGACAUCCGAUAAAAUAGGAAUGAUACAGAGAAGAUUAGCAUGGCCCCUGUGCGUAGAACAGAAAUCCCCGGAAUUAGGGACAUUCACACCUUGUUU
rfam:Punica granatum cultivar Dabenzi scaffold335, whole genome shotgun sequence.